rnacentral:lncRNA from 1 species
UUUUCAGCUGCUCAGCAUUAUUUGACAUGAACAGGAAGGAAAGAGGAAGACUUGAACGACACGAUAGACUUCCUGAAAGAGGAGUCGUUCCUACCGCGGGACGAAGGAGUCGGUCUUCUGCAGGGUGGUGGGGUCCAGCUCGAACAGCGAGGCGAUGUCGUUCCCGUCGGCCAGCACCACCAGCUUGUACUUGAUCCUCUCGCCCUGGGAGCGUUUGCUGUUGCGACGGCCGUCCAUCUGCAAGGAGCUCACAGCACCGAUGAUGGACACACACGACUGGAGGAAUCAAACCACCACCCCACCGGGGGGGCAAACUCAGUCGCACGAGUCAGAAACACACCUCAGGUCACAAACAUUUACAAAACAUUCCAAAACUACUGUAAGUUUUUACUAUGUGAUAAUGACCGUGUUGAUGCUGAAUUUAUCCACUGAAGAUGCAAAUGAGUCAAUAUGACCAUAAGACGCUUUUAAGACCAAAAAGUAACUUUAUUUAAGUAGAUGUUAGAGAUGCAUGUUACGACGGAGUAUUAGUGCCACCAAAAAAAAAAAUGUAAUAUUACAAGUUUUUUUCUCGUAAAUUUACGACUUUUAAUCUUGUAAAAUUAUAAAUUUUAAUCUCGUAGAUUUACGACUUUUUUCUCUGAACCUACAUUCCAGCAAAUUUAUGCCGUGAACUGAAGCAGAUCAACCAAACUGUGAAAAGCGUCUUGGAUUUCAUCAGGUAAACUGAAUGUUUAAAAUAUUUCAAAUAUUUGGUUUAUUUGAUUUACAGUGUAUUAAUGUUUUAUUGGUUGAUGCUGCUUGCAGGAUCUCUGCAGAUCCCGUUUAUGAAGCGGUCCAUAUCCUCCAGCUGUCCACUUCAGUCAUUUCUUCCUCUACGACAGACCAGAUCUCCUCCAACUCUGUGAUGCUUCCGUCUGAAGAGGACGAGUUUUUGGAAUUUUCAAUGUUCUUGUGCUAACGUUGUCAUUUCUCAAUGUUGUUUUGUGUCGAGACGGGACGUUUCAUUUGGGGAAGGAGGCGUCCGGAGCUCUGUUUACAUUCUCUUUUGGUUUCUGAGCAUGACAGAGACAUGAUGUAAGGUGGAGAAAGGGCUUCUGGGAAAUGAAAGAUGUAAUAAAGUGACGUGUAUCUCUGAGCUCUUUAUUUGACACGUGAAACUCCGCACUACCGACACCAAACCCGGAAAUAAUUUGAUUUUGAAUCACCAAAAGGUUCAGAAUUUCUUUGUUUUUAACACCGAUCUGGACAUAAAUCUUCACCAGAUUCUCCACGUCUUUCAUCUUCAAGCACGGCUCUGAUAAACAGACAACUUUGGUUCUUUUUCGCGUAAAUUUUAUGACUUUAAAAGUUGUAAAUUUACCCUACAACUUUUAAAGUCAUAAAU